UAGCGGAGGAAAAGAAACUAACAAGGAUUCCCCUAGUAACUGCGAGUGAAGCGGGAAAAGCUCAAAUUUAAAAUCUGGCAGUCUUUGGCUGUCCGAGUUGUAAUCUAGAGAAGUGUUAUCCGCGCUGGACCGUGUACAAGUCUCCUGGAAUGGAGCGUCAUAGAGGGUGAGAAUCCCGUCUUUGACACGGACUGCCAGGGCUUUGUGAUGCGCUCUCAAAGAGUCGAGUUGUUUGGGAAUGCAGCUCAAAAUGGGUGGUAAAUUCCAUCUAAAGCUAAAUAUUGGCGAGAGACCGAUAGCGAACAAGUACCGUGAGGGAAAGAUGAAAAGAACUUUGGAAAGAGAGUUAAACAGUACGUGAAAUUGCUGAAAGGGAAACGCUUGAAGUCAGUCGCAUUGUGUGGGAAUCAACCUUGCUUUUGCUGGGCGUAUGUUCCAUAUGAUGGGUCAGCAUCAAUUUUGACCGUGGGAUAAAGUUC
rnacentral:rRNA from 1 species